rnacentral:rRNA from 1 species
GACGAACGCUGGCGGCAGGCUUAACACAUGCAAGUCGAACGAGUGGCGGACGGGUGAGUAAUGCCUGGGAAUCUGGCUUAUGGAGGGGGAUAACUACGGGAAACUGUAGCUAAUACCGCGUACCAUCGGAUGUGCCCAAGUGGGAUUAGGUAGUUGGUGAGGUAAAGGCUCACCAAGCCGACGAUCCCUAGCUGGUCUGAGAGGAUGACCAGACACACGGGGACUGAGACACGGCCCAGACUCCUACGGGAGGCAGCAGUGGGGAAUCUUCCGCAAUGGGCGCAAGCCUGACGGAGCAACGCCGCGUGAGUGAAGAAGGUCUUCGGAUCGUAAAACACUGUUAUUAGGGAAGCGGUAUCUAACCAGGAAGCCACGGCUAACUACGUGCCAGCAGCCGCGGUAAUAC